GACGAACGCUGGCGGCGUGCCUAAUACAUGCAAGUAGAACGCACAGUUUAUACCGUAGCUUGCUACACCAUACACUGUGAGUUGCGAACGGGUGAGUAACGCGUAGGUAACCUGCCUGGUAGCGGGGGAUAACUAUUGGAAACGAUAGCUAAUACCGCAUAAUAUUGAUUAUUGCAUGGUAAUUGAUUGAAAGAUGCUAUUGCAUCACUACCAGAUGGACCUGCGUUGUAUUAGCUAGUAGGUGAGGUAACGGCUCACCUAGGCGACGAUACAUAGCCGACCUGAGAGGGUGAUCGGCCACACUGGGACUGAGACACGGCCCAGACUCCUACGGGAGGCAGCAGUAGGGAAUCUUCGGCAAUGGACGAAAGUCUGACCGAGCAACGCCGCGUGAGUGAAGAAGGUUUUCGGAUCGUAAAGCUCUGUUGUAAGAGAAGAACGGGUGUGAGAGUGGAAAGUUCACACUGUGACGGUAUCUUACCAGAAAGGGACGGCUAACUACGUG
rnacentral:rRNA from 1 species